GCCUUCGUGGUAUAGUGGUCAGCACGCUCGGCGCGUAUUCGAGAGGUCCGUGGUUCGAAUCCCGGCGAGGGCA
rnacentral:tRNA from 1 species